rnacentral:rRNA from 1 species
GACGAACGCUGGCGGCGUGCUUAACACAUGCAAGUCGAACGGAAAGGCCCUGCUUUUGUGGGGUGCUCGAGUGGCGAACGGGUGAGUAACACGUGAGUAACCUGCCCUUGACUUUCGGAUAACUUCAGGAAACUGGGGCUAAUACCGGAUAGGAGCUCCUGCUGCAUGGUGGGGGUUGGAAAGUUUCGGCGGUUGGGGAUGGACUCGCGGCUUAUCAGCUUGUUGGUGGGGGAGUGGCUUACCAAGGCUUUGACGGGUAGCCGGCCUGAGAGGGUGACCGGCCACAUUGGGACUGAGAUACGGCCCAGACGCCUACGUGAGGCAGCAGUGGGGAAUAUUGCACAAUGGGCGGAAGCCUGAUGCAGCAACGCCGCGUGCGGGAUGACGGCCUUCGGGUUGUAAACCGCUUUCGCCUGUGACGAAGCGGGAGUGACGGUAAUGGGUAAAGAAGCACCGGCUAACUACGUG